AUGCCUCGGCCCAAGUGGAAAAAAAACCAUCAGAGACUAUUCGGAGGACCAAAACCUGAACAUAAAGUACUACCACUGCUUCAUCCACAAGCUGAGGACCCUCCAGAAGAAUCUCCGAAGCAUUCGACUCAAAACCAGACUGGCUGCGGGACAAGACCGAGAAGCCUUUAUCCAGCGACUAGCCACCUGCAUCCGUGCCAGGAUCAGAAGUUCAUUUACCUGUUGUGCCCAUCUUCCUUGCUACACUACCUUCCGUAUGGAAAACACCUGGACAUGGACUUUGCCGACAUGGAUGCCAUUCAGUCCGUCAUCUGCAAGCAUUUCCGCGAUGAUGGUCUCCGGAAAGUCUGCAAGCUGGCAACCACUAACAGGUGUGAGAACCUCCACCAGCGUGUCUUCACGUACGCGCCCAAGAACACCACGUGGGCCAGGAACUUCACAGCCAUGUGCCACUCUGCAGUCCACUCCUCCUCGCAUGGCACCGGCAAGUCCAUGGUGAUCCUAGCGGGAAAAUGGGGCCUGAAAUGGAAGAAGACAAAAGAACCAUUUUAUAGGGAUAUGCUGCAGAAAGACCAACUUGCAAGCCACCACCGUCAACGAAAACAGUCCUCACUCUACAGAACAUCUCGAUACCUUAAGUUAUAA
rnacentral:sRNA from 1 species